GACGUAGGGCGCGAGCGUUGUCCGGAUUUAUUGGGCGUAAAGAGCUCGUAGGCGGCUUGUCGCGUCGACUGUGAAAAACCCGCGGCUCAACUGCGGGCCUGCAGCCGAUACGGGCAGGCUAGAGUUCGGUAGGGGGAGACUGGAAUUCCUGGUGUAGCGGUGAAAAUGCGCAGAUAUCAGGGAGGGAAACACCGGUGGCGAAAGGGCGGGGUCUCUGGGGCCCGAUACUGACGCUGAGGGAGCGAAAAACGUGGGGGAGCGAACAGG
rnacentral:rRNA from 1 species